UGUUGAUCUCGGAUUGCUAUGUCUUGUCUAAUUUGCAUGCAGUAUGACAAUAAUAAAGAAUUGUUUUUUUUUUUUUUUUUUAAAAGAGCCAAACUGGAAAAAAUACCAAUACCUUGGAAAUAGCUAUGUUUCGAAUCCAGCUAUUUUACCAUAACAUUGGGAUUUAAUUUUGAAUUGCAGACAAAUCACACUUUAGUAAACAACUCUGUAUACAGUGUUGCGGCAUCCAUAAAAACAAGAGGAGACAAACAUUUUCUAUUCCUUGGGUAGUGUGGGGUAUAAAACCAGGUUUUAGUUGGCAAGACUUGUACUGAACUUUUAAUGAAUAAUAUUUUCAUGAAUUGAUGUUAAUGGGAAUUACACACUCAAUUUUAGGAGGCCCCAUGCCUGAACUAGAGUUAUCAAUGCUUGAACGG